GAAAUGCGAUAAGUAAUGCGAAUUGCAGAAUUCAGCGAGUCAUUGAAUUUUUGAACGCACAUUGCGCCCUGUGGUAUUCCGCAGGGCAUGCCUGUUCGAGCGUCAGUACAACCCUCAAGCUUUAGCUUGGUCUUGAGCCCCGCCAGUAACUCGGCAGGCUUUAAAAUUAGUGGCGGCGCCAUUAGGCUCUUAGCGUAGUAAUACUUCUCGCUAUUGAGACCUUGUGGUAUGCUGGCCAGCAACCCCAACUUUCUAAGUUUGACCUCGGAUCAGGUAGGGAUACCCGCUGAACUUAA
rnacentral:misc_RNA from 1 species